UACGUAGGUGGCAAGCGUUGUCCGGAUUUACUGGGCGUAAAGAGUAUGUAGGCGGACAUUUAAGUAGAAAGUGAAAGGCUCGAGCUUAACUCGGACACUGCUUUCUAUACUGGAUGUCUUGAGUGCCGGAGAGGAAAGCGGAACGACACGUGUAGCGGUGAAAUGCGUUGAUAUGUGUCGGAACACCAAUGGCGAAGGCAGCUUUCUGGACGGAGUCGCAAGACUUAAAACUGACGCUGAGAUACGAAAGCGUGGGUAGCGAACAGGAUUAGAUACCCUGGUAGUCCACGCCCUAAACGAUGUUCACUAGGUGUCGGGGGGUAACCUUCGGUGCCGCAGCUAACGCAUUAAGUGAACCGCCUGGGGACUACGGCCGCAAGGUUGAA
rnacentral:rRNA from 1 species